rnacentral:tRNA from 1 species
GUCGCUUUGGCGGAGUGGUUAACGCGCGCCCCUGCUAAGUAUAUAGAUUCUAUCUAUACCCAGUCGUAAGGGCGUUCCUUCGGGAGCGUAGGUUCGAAUCCUGCAGGCGACG